rnacentral:rRNA from 1 species
CCUACGGGAGGCAGCAGUGGGGAAUAUUGCACAAUGGGGGAAACCCUGAUGCAGCGACGCCGCGUGAAGGAAGAAGUAUCUCGGUAUGUAAACUUCUAUCGGCAGGGAAGAAAACGGACGGUACCUGACUAAGAAGCCCCGGCUAACUACGUGCCAGCAGCCGCGGUAAUACGUAGGGGGCGAGCGUUAUCCGGAUUUACUGGGUGUAAAGGGAGCGUAGACGGCUGGGCAAGCCUGAUGUGAAAGGCGGGGGCGCAACCCUCGGACUGCAUUGGGAACUGUCCGGCUGGAGCGCCGGAGGGGUAAGCGGAAUUCCUGGUGUAGCGGUGAAAUGCGUAGAUAUCAGGAGGAACACCGGUGGCGAAGGCGGCUUACUGGACGGCGACUGACGUUGAUGCUCGAAAGCGUGGGGAGCGAACAGGAUUAGAUACCCCUGUAGUC